rnacentral:rRNA from 1 species
AGAGUUUGAUCCUGGCUCAGGACGAACGCUGGCGGCGUGCCUAAUACAUGCAAGUAGAACGCUGAAGAGAGGAGCUUGCUCUUCUUGGAUGAGUUGCGAACGGGUGAGUAACGCGUAGGUAACCUGCCUUGUAGCGGGGGAUAACUAUUGGAAACGAUAGCUAAUACCGCAUAACAAUGGAUGACACAUGUCAUUUAUUUGAAAGGGGCAAUUGCUCCACUACAAGAUGGACCUGCGUUGUAUUAGCUAGUAGGUGAGGUAACGGCUCACCUAGGCGACGAUACAUAGCCGACCUGAGAGGGUGAUCGGCCACACCGGGACUGAGACACGGCCCAGACUCCUACGGGAGGCAGCAGUAGGGAAUCUUCGGCAAUGGGGGCAACCCUGACCGAGCAACGCCGCGUGAGUGAAGAAGGUUUUCGGAUCGUAAAGCUCUGUUGUAAGUCAAGAACGAGUGUGAGAGUGGAAAGUUCACACUGUGACGGUAGCUUACCAGAAAGGGACGGCUAACUACGUGCCAGCAGCCGCGGUAAUACGUAGGUCCCGAGCGUUGUCCGGAUUUAUUGGGCGUAAAGCGAGCGCAGGCGGUUUGAUAAGUCUGAAGUUAAAGGCUGUGGCUCAACCAUAGUUCGCUUUGGAAACUGUCAAACUUGAGUGCAGAAGGGGAGAGUGGAAUUCCAUGUGUAGCGGUGAAAUGCGUAGAUAUAUGGAGGAACACCGGUGGCGAAAGCGGCUCUCUGGUCUGUAACUGACGCUGAGGCUCGAAAGCGUGGGGAGCGAACAGGAUUAGAUACCCUGGUAGUCCACGCCGUAAACGAUGAGUGCUAGGUGUUGGAUCCUUUCCGGGAUUCAGUGCCGCAGCUAACGCAUUAAGCACUCCGCCUGGGGAGUACGACCGCAAGGUUGAAACUCAAAGGAAUUGACGGGGGCCCGCACAAGCGGUGGAGCAUGUGGUUUAAUUCGAAGCAACGCGAAGAACCUUACCAGGUCUUGACAUCCCGAUGCUAUUUCUAGAGAUAGAAAGUUACUUCGGUACAUCGGUGACAGGUGGUGCAUGGUUGUCGUCAGCUCGUGUCGUGAGAUGUUGGGUUAAGUCCCGCAACGAGCGCAACCCCUAUUGUUAGUUGCCAUCAUUCAGUUGGGCACUCUAGCGAGACUGCCGGUAAUAAACCGGAGGAAGGUGGGGAUGACGUCAAAUCAUCAUGCCCCUUAUGACCUGGGCUACACACGUGCUACAAUGGUUGGUACAACGAGUUGCGAGUCGGUGACGGCAAGCUAAUCUCUUAAAGCCAAUCUCAGUUCGGAUUGUAGGCUGCAACUCGCCUACAUGAAGUCGGAAUCGCUAGUAAUCGCGGAUCAGCACGCCGCGGUGAAUACGUUCCCGGGCCUUGUACACACCGCCCGUCA